GUUUAGGCUUCCGGCCAAGAACAUUAUGACAGUCUAGUUUGGCGUUAGCAUCAUCUGGAGAGGGUCUAAGGCAGGGUUAUUGAAUUAGAUUUGGCUGCUUGCUAAGCAGCACAUUGCAUUUCCCAUCCCCGAUGGAGGCGGACGUGGGGGACGAGAGGGCGAUGUCAUGCUGGGAGAGUGGGAGUGGGUGAGGAUGAUGAGAACGACCUCUCAGCUCCCUUCCAACUGCUUCUGAUUCUUCCAUUCCAGCUGAGCCAAGUCAGCCUAGUUAAACAGUUACGGAGGGCCUUCUGUAUGCCAGGAACUGAGCUGGGAUCAUGACCGUGAACAAUGUAGAUACCCACUCUGCCUUCACAGGAUCUGGAGAUGGUCAACGGGAGAGGGAAAUGCAAAGACAUUUUUCAAGCUAAUGAGAGAGACCUGGAUUCUGCCAACCCAGAGAUGGGAUUGGGGACACAAGCAUCAGGCUCUUGAGAGUUUCCAGUGUGUCUACAGCGCACUCCCACAAUGCCAAGUGUUUAUUUGGUAACCCGAGGUGACAGCAGGGUAAGGGCAGGCUGACCUCAUGAAGACAUCUUUCGUUGCUUCCACCCUUGGAGUGAGGAUACUGCAUCUCGUUCGAGACGAACCUCUGACAAUCUGAAGAGGAGUAACUGCCCAGCUAAGAGACUUUCUUUCCUAAAAGCUAAACACCAAAGUAGGUAUUAGAAAAAUGUGGGAGUGGAAUAGCAACGGAAAACCCAAC
ensembl:lncRNA